GCCGGCAUAGCUCAGUUGGUAGAGCAACCGCCUUGUAAGCGGUAGGCCGCGUUCGAGUUCGGGCUGCCGGCACCA
rnacentral:tRNA from 1 species